GCUCAGGAUGAACGCUGGCGGCGUGCCUAAUACAUGCAAGUCGAGCGAACAGAUAAGGAGCUUGCUCCUUUGAAGUUAGCGGCGGACGGGUGAGUAACACGUGGGUAACCUACCUAUAAGACUGGAAUAACUUCGGGAAACCGGAGCUAAUGCCGGAUAACAUAUAGAACCGCAUGGUUCUAUAGUGAAAGAUGGUUUUGCUAUCACUUAUAGAUGGACCCGCGCCGUAUUAGCUAGUUGGUAAGGUAAAGGCUUACCAAGGCGACGAUACGUAGCCGACCUGAGAGGGUGAUCGGCCACGCUGGAACUGAGACACGGUCCAGACUCCUACGGGAGGCAGCAGUAGGGAAUCUUCCGCAAUGGGCGAAAGCCUGACGGAGCAACGCCGCGUGAGUGAUGAAGGUUUUCGGAUCGUAAAACUCUGUUAUUAGGGAAGAGCAAAUGCGUAAGUAACUGUGCGCAUCUUGACGGUACCUAAUCAGAAAGCCACGGCUAACUACGUGCCAGCAGCCGCGGUAAUACGUAGGUGGCAAGCGUUAUCCGGAAUUAUUGGGCGUAAAGCGCGCGUAGGCGGUUUCUUAAGUCUGAUGUGAAAGCCCACGGCUCAACCGUGGAGGGUCAUUGGAAACUGGGAAACUUGAGUGCAGAAGAGGAAAGUGGAAUUCCAUGUGUAGCGGUGAAAUGCGCAGAGAUAUGGAGGAACACCAGUGGCGAAGGCGACUUUCUGGUCUGUAACUGACGCUGAUGUGCGAAAG
rnacentral:rRNA from 1 species